rnacentral:rRNA from 1 species
UACGUAGGGUGCAAGCGUUGCUCGGAAUUACUGGGCGUAAAGCGCGUGUAGGCGGUCUCGUAUGUCUGAUGUGAAAUCCCCGGGCUCAACCCGGGAAGUGCAUUGGAAACUGCGAGACUGGAGUCCCGGAGAGGAAGGUGGAAUUCCAGGUGUAGCGGUGAAAUGCGUAGAUAUCUGGAAGAACACCGGUGGCGAAGGCGGCCUUCUGGACGGUGACUGACGCUGAGACGCGAAAGCGUGGGGAGCAAACAGG